UUGGCCGAGUGGUUAAGGCGACAGACUAGAAAUCUGUUGGGGUUUCCCCGCACAGGUUCAAAUCCUGUA
rnacentral:tRNA from 1 species